GACGAACGCUGGCGGCGUGCUUAACACAUGCAAGUCGAACGGAAAGGCCCUGCUUUUGUGGGGUGCUCGAGUGGCGAACGGGUGAGUAACACGUGAGUAACCUGCCCUUGACUUUGGGAUAACUUCAGGAAACUGGGGCUAAUACCGGAUAGGAGCUCCUGCUGCAUGGUGGGGGUUGGAAAGUUUCGGCGGUUGGGGAUGGACUCGCGGCUUAUCAGCUUGUUGGUGGGGUAGUGGCUUACCAAGGGUUUGACGGGUAGCCGGCCUGAGAGGGUGACCGGCCACAUUGGGACUAAGAUAGGCACCAGACUCGUACGGGGGGCAGCAGUGGGAAAUAUUGCACAAUGGGCGGAAGCCUGAUGCAGCAACGCCGCGUGCGGGAUGACGGCCUUCGGGUUGUAAACCGCUUUCGCCUGUGACGAAGCGUGAGUGACGGUAAUGGGUAAAGAAGCACCGGCUAACUACGUG
rnacentral:rRNA from 1 species